rnacentral:lncRNA from 1 species
GGGGGUUAUGGGGGGGGGGUUAUCGGGGGAGCAGUUUGGGCGCCACCCCCCCGGUUCCCGCCGCCUUGCUUUUUGCCCGGAUUUGCCGCUUUUCGCCCCAGAAAGUUAACGGCCAGAAGGCAAAGCCGAGGCCGUGGGAUCGGCGCCGCGCACACGCGUGUCCCACUGCACACACAUGUCGCACCGCGUCACGCACACACGCGUCACACCACACACACGCGUGUCCCACCACAUGUGUCCCACCACACACGCACGUGUCACUCCACCCACACGUGUCCCACUGUACACACGCGUGUCCCAGCACACACAUGUGUCCCACCCGGCACACACGCGUGUCCCACCACACACACGUGCGUCACACCACACACCCACGUGUCCCGCCACACAUGUAUGUGUCGCACCACCCACAUACAUGUCCCACCACCCACGCGUGUCCCACCGCACAUGCGUGUGUGCCAGCACACACCUGUCACACCACACAUGCGUGUCGCACCACCCACAUACAUGUCCCACCACACACGUGUCCCACUGCACACACAUGUCGCACCGCACACGUGUCCCACCACACACGUGAGUCACACCACACACAUGCGUGUCCCACCCCACACGCGUGUCCCACCACACACGUGUGUGUCCCAGCACACACACCUGUCACACCACACGUGUGUCGCACCACCCACACGUGUCCCACCGCCCACACACGUGUCCCACCACCCCCACGUGUCCCACCACACGUUUCCCACCGCCCACACGUGUCCCACCACCCACGCGUGUCCCACCGCACACCCACGUGUCCCACCACACAUGUGUGUCCCAGCAGACCCACGUGUGUGUCACACCACACACACGCAUGUCCCACCACACACGUGUGUCACACCCACCACCCAUGCGUGUCCCACCGCACAUGCGUGUGUCCCAGCACACACGCAUGUCCCACCACACACGUGUGUCACACCCACCACCCACACGUGUGUCCCACCACACACGUGAGUCACACCCACCACCCAUGCGUGUCCCACCGCACAUGCGUGUGUCCCAGCACACACGUGUGUCCCACCACACACGUGUCACACCGCACACACGUGUGUCCCACCGCAGACGCAUGUGUCCCACCAAACACACGCGUGUCCCAGCACACACACGUGUCACACCACACACACGUGUCCCACCACCCACAUGUGCGUCCCACCACACGUGUCCCAGCACACGCGUGUCCCACCGCCCACAUGUGUCCCACCACACGUGUCCCAGCACAUGCGUGUCCCACCACCCACGCGUGUCCCAGCACAUGCGUGUGUCACACCCACCGCCCACACGUGUCCCACCGCCCACACGUGUCCCACCGCCCACACGUGUCCCACCACCCACACAUGUCCCACCACACGUGUCCCACCGCCCACACGUGUCCCACUGCCCACGCGUGUCCCACCACCCACACGCGCGUCCCACCACACGUGUCCCACCGCCCACACGUGUCCCACCACCCACACGCGUCCCACCACCCACACGUGUCCCACCACCCACACGCGUCCCACCACCCACACGCGUCCCACCACACGUGUCCCAGCACACACUUGUCCCACCACACGCGUGUCCCACCACCCACACGUGU